rnacentral:rRNA from 1 species
GGAGACGCAUAGCCGGCGGCGUCGGUAAUACGGAGGGGUCGAGCGUGAAUAGGAAGUGCUGGGCCUAGAGCGUACGCAGGCGGGUGGAUAAGUGAGAUGCGAAAGCCCCGGGCGCAGCCUGGGAAUUGCAUUUAGAACUGUCCAGGUAGAGUCGUGUAGAGGGGGGUAGGAGUCCAGGGGUAGCGGUGAAAUGCGUAGAGAUCUGGAGGAAUACCGGUGGCGAAGGCGGCCACCUGGACAAAGACUGACGCUCAGGUGCGAAAGCGUGGGGAGCAAACAGGAUUAGAUACCCCAGUAGUC